rnacentral:rRNA from 1 species
GCAUCAUAGCGGAGGAAAAGAAACUAACAAGGAUUCCCCUAGUAACGGCGAGUGAAGCGGGAUGAGCUCAAAUUUAAAAUCUGGCUGGUUUACUAGUCCGAAUUGUAGUUUAUAGAAGCGUUUUCGGUGGCAGCCUGGGUAUAAAUCCUUUGGAAUAGGGUAUCAUAGAGGGUGAGAAUCCCGUCUUUGACUCAGUGCAUGCUACUAUGUGAUACGUUUUCAAAGAGUCGAGUUGUUUGGGAAUGCAGCUCAAAAUGGGUGGUAAAUUUCAUCUAAAGCUAAAUAUUGGCGAGAGACCGAUAGCGAACAAGUACCGUGAGGGAAAGAUGAAAAGAACUUUGAAAAGAGAGUUAAACAGUGCGUGAAAUUGUUGAAAGGGAAACGCUUGACACCAGUCAUGCGAGUGGAAAAUCAGUCUUUUGCAAUGGGGAGUUGUGGGCGUUCAGACCGCAAGGCUGGCGUUUGCUUCAUCUUUGUUGUAAGUGAUGCACUUUUUCAUUUGCAGGUCAACAUCAGUUUGCUUUGCUGGACAAAACCCCAAGGGAAGGUGACAGCUUAGGCUGUGUUAUAGCCCUGGGGCGAUACAGUGGAGUGGACUGAGGUUUUCGCAGUGUGUGCUCUCUGGGCAAGGCUGACUGGGUGCUAUGGGAUCGUUCGGCGUACAAUGCAUGCAUUUUGCGCCGUGUCUUUUUCAUACUCGCUCAACUCGGCUCUUCCACACUUAGGAUGUUGACUUAAUGGUUUUAAUCGACCCGUCUUGAAACACGGACCAAGGAGUCUAACAUAUAUGCAAGUGUUUGGGUGGCAAACCCAUGCGCGUAAUGAAAGUGAACGUAGGUGCCAUCCGCAAGGUGCAGCAUCGACCGAUCUUGAUAUUUUUGGAUAGAUUUGAGUAAGAGCAUAUAUGCUGGGACCCGAAAGAUGGUGAACUAUGCCUGAAUAGGGUGAAGCCAGAGGAAACUCUGGUGGAGGCUCGUAGCGAUUCUGACGUGCAAAUCGAUCGUCAAAUUUGGGUAUAGGGGCGAAAGACUAAUCGAACCAUCUAGUAGCUGUCU